ensembl:lncRNA
AUUUCCCCAGCAGACAAGUUUCCUCCCUUCUCUUCCAGCCAUUUCUAUGCUCUUGGUGCCACAAGGUACUAUAAUCCAGUAGAAUAUAACCCAGUAGGAAAACUAACUUUUUUCUUUUUUUUUCUUUUUCUUUUUUUAAUAACUAAAAGGGUUUUAGCAGCCUUGCCAGACUAAAUCUUAUUUUCUAAGGCUCAUGACCUUUGCUGAAGUCUGCUCUGCACUGAAAUUUUACAAGUUUCUUUAAGAACUGGAUACCACAUGAAGAUCUGAGUUGUCCCUGUGAAUCGACCUAAAUUUCCCUGGGCUUGCUUUCAUUCUAUAGCUGUGGACUCAGGACUUCUAAAAAAGGAAAGAGACAU